rnacentral:rRNA from 1 species
AACGAACGCUGGCGGCAUGCCUAACACAUGCAAGUCGAACGAGACCUUCGGGUCUAGUGGCGCACGGGUGCGUAACGCGUGGGAACCUGCCCUUAGGUUCGGAAUAACUCCCCGAAAGGGGUGCUAAUACCGGAUAAUGUCUUCGGAUCAAAGAUUUAUCGCCUUUGGAUGGGCCCGCGUUGGAUUAGCUAGUUGGUAGGGUAAAAGCCUACCAAGGCGACGAUCCAUAGCUGGUCUGAGAGGAUGAUCAGCCACACUGGGACUGAGACACGGCCCAGACUCCUACGGGAGGCAGCAGUGGGGAAUAUUGGACAAGGGGCGAAAGCCUGAUCCAGCAAUGCCGCGUGAGUGAUGAAGGCCUUAGGGUUGUAAAGCUCUUUUACCCGGGAUGAUAAUGACAGUACCGGGAGAAUAAGCUCCGGCUAACUCCGUG